ensembl:misc_RNA Y_RNA Y RNA
GGCUGGUCUGAGUGCAGUGGUGUUUACAAUUCAUUGAUCACAGCCAACUACAGAGUUCUUUGUUCCUUCUCUCACACUGCUACCCUUGACUAGCCCCCC